CCCUCUCUUCUGGGUCACUCAUUCUGGGGGAAGUUAAUCUCCCUGUCUAGAGGUCACUGUGAAGCCUGUGGAAAGGAACUGAGACCUCCAGCUGUCAGCCGCAUAAGUGAGCCUUCUGGGAAGCAGCCCCCAGCCUCAGGGAAGCCUUCAGAAGGGUUACAGUGUAAUUUGUUAAGACUGUGAAGCCGCAACGUGAUCUUAUUUUUCUAAGAUAUAAAAAUAUACUGUUAAUAAUUGCAA